UACGUAGGGUGCAAGCGUUGUCCGGAAUUAUUGGGCGUAAAGAGCUCGUAGGCGGUUUGUCGCGUCUGCUGUGAAAUCCCGAGGCUCAACCUCGGGCCUGCAGUGGGUACGGGCAGACUAGAGUGCGGUAGGGGAGAUUGGAAUUCCUGGUGUAGCGGUGAAAUGCGCAGAUAUCAGGAGGAACACCGGUGGCGAAGGCGGGUCUCUGGGCCGUAACUGACGCUGAGGAGCGAAAGCGUGGGGAGCAAACAGG
rnacentral:rRNA from 1 species